UAUAAAAGUCUAAAGAACAAGAUAUGUCAAAGGUCAAGGUCACAAAGUUUAAAACAGAUAAAAUAGUUGGAACAUAUUUGUUUUGUGACAAUUGACUGAUAUCUUUUGAGCACUAAUACGGUAAUAGGAUUUUAAACAAAUAGUUAGUGCACCAAUGCACAUUUCCAUGAACAAGACCCAUAUGAAUAGCACUGUGUCAAAGGUCAUUAGUCACAUGAGCAAAUUUAUUGAUUUGCAAUUUGGCACGAUUGUUAAGUUUCAGUCUUUAUCAUGACCCAAUGCACCCCUUAAAA
rnacentral:lncRNA from 1 species